rnacentral:rRNA from 1 species
ACCCAGACUCCUACGGGAGGCAGCAGUGGGGAAUAUUGGGCAAUGGGCGCAAGCCUGACCCAGCAACGCCGCGUGAAGGAAGAAGGCUUUCGGGUUGUAAACUUCUUUUAAGAGGGACGAAACAAAUGACGGUACCUCUUGAAUAAGCCACGGCUAACUACGUGCCAGCAGCCGCGGUAAUACGUAGGUGGCAAGCGUUAUCCGGAGUGACUGGGUGUAAAGAGUUGCGUAGGUGGCAUAGUAAGUAGCUAGUGAAAUCUGGUGGCUCAACCAUUCAGACUAUUAGCUAAACUGCUAAGCUCGAGACCGUUAGGGGUAACUGGAAUUUCUAGUGUAGGAGUGAAAUCCGUAGAUAUUAGAAGGAACACCGAUAGCGUAGGCAGGUUACUGGGACGGUUCUGACACUAAGGCACGAAAGCGUAGGGAGCAAACGGGAUUAGAUACCCGGGUAC